rnacentral:rRNA from 1 species
CAGUAGCCACGGUAAUACGAAGGGGGCCAGCGUUGCUCGGAAUCACUGGGCGUAAAGGGUGCGUAGGCGGGUCUUUAAGUCAGGGGUGAAAUCCUGGAGCUCAACUCCAGAACUGCCUUUGAUACUGAAGAUCUUGAGUUCGGGAGAGGUGAGUGGAACUGCGAGUGUAGAGGUGAAAUUCGUAGAUAUUCGCAAGAACACCAGUGGCGAAGGCGGCUCACUGGCCCGAUACUGACGCUGAGGCACGAAAGCGUGGGGAGCAAACAGGAUUAGAUACCCGUGUAGUCCCUGUCUCUUAUAC